rnacentral:rRNA from 1 species
AUCUACAGCCAUGCCACCCUGAAUGGGCCCAAUCUCGUCUGAUCUUGGGAAGCUAAGAAGGGUCAGGCCUGGUUAGUACUUGGAUGGGAGACCACCUAGGAAGACCAGGUGCUGCAGGCA